rnacentral:rRNA from 1 species
GACGAGGGAUCCUAGCGUUGUUCGGAAUCAUUGGGCGUAAAGCGGGUGUAGGUGGCUUUGUAAGUCAGGUGUGAAAGCCCAGGGCUCAACCCUGGAAGUGCAUUUGAUACUGCGAAGCUUGAGUGCUGGAGAGGUAAGUAGAAUUCCUGGUGUAGUGGUGAAAUGCGUAGAUAUUGGGAAGAACACCUGAGGCGAAGGCGGGUUGCUGGGCUGACACCGACGCUGAGGCGCGAAAGCCAGGGGAGCAAACGGG